CAACGAGCGCAACCCUUAUUGUUAGUUUGCUACCAUUUAGUUGAGCACUCUAGCGAGACUGCCCGGGUUAACCGGGAGGGAAGGUGGGAUGACGUCAAAUCAUCAUGCCCCUUAUGUCUAGGGCUACACACGUGCUACAAUGGUCGGUACAAUGAGAUGCAACCUCGCGAGAGUGAGCAAAACUAUAAAACCGAUCUCAGUUCGGAUUGUAGGCUGAAACUCGCCUACAUGAAGCUGGAGUUGCUAGUAAUCGCGAAUCAGAAUGUCGCGGUGAAUACGUUCCCGGGCCUU
rnacentral:rRNA from 1 species